rnacentral:tRNA from 1 species
UCUAAUAUGGCAGAAAUAUGUGAUGGAUUUAAACUCCAUUUAUAAAGGAUUCCUUUUUUUAGAA